GGCGUCGAGUGGCGGACGGGUGAGUAAUGCUUGGGAAUCUGCCUAAUAGUGGGGGAAAACUCGGGGAAACUCGGGCUAAUACCGCAUAAUCUCUUCGGAGGAAAGGGGGCCUCUACAUGUAAGCCCUCGCUAAUAGAUGAGCCCAAGUCAGAUUAGCUUGUUGGUGAGGUAAUGGCUCACCAAGGCAACGAUCUGUAGCUGGUCUGAGAGGACGAUCAGCCACACUGGGACUGAGACACGGCCCAGACUCCUACGGGAGGCAGCAGUGGGGAAUAUUGCACAAUGGGGGAAACCCUGAUGCAGCAAUGCCGCGUGUGUGAAGAAGGCUUUAGGGUUGUAAAGCACUUUCAAUAGAGAAGAAAAGCUUAGGGUUAAUACCCCUAAGUAUUGACGUAACCUAUAGAAGAAGCACCGGCUAAAUCCGUGCCAGCAGCCGCGGUAAUACGGAUGGUGCGAGCGUUAAUCGGAAUUACUGGGCGUAAAGAGCACGUAGGCUGUUUUAUAAGUCGGAUGUGAAAUCCCCGGGCUUAACCUGGGAACUGCAUCCGAAACUAUUUAACUAGAGUAUGGGAGAGGUAAGUAGAAUUUCCGGUGUAGCGGUGAAAUGCGUAGAUAUCGGAAGGAAUACCAGUGGCGAAGGCGGCUUACUGGACCAAUACUGACGCUGAGGUGCGAAAGCGUGGGGAGCGAACAGGAUUAGAUACCCUGGUAGUCCACGCCGUAAACGAUGA
rnacentral:rRNA from 1 species